rnacentral:rRNA from 1 species
UACAGAGGGGGCUAGCGUUGUUCGGAAUUACUGGGCGUAAAGGGCGCGUAGGUGGCCUGUUAAGUCGAACGUGAAAUCCCCGGGCUCAACCCGGGAACUGCGUCCGAGACUGGCAGGCUCGAAUCCGGGAGAGGGAUGUGGAAUUCCAGGUGUAGCGGUGAAAUGCGUAGAUAUCGGGAGGAACACCAGUGGCGAAGGCGACUACCUGGCCUGUUCUUGACGCUGAGGCGCGAAAGCUAGGGGAGCAAACGGG